rnacentral:rRNA from 1 species
CCUACGGGCGGCAGCAGUGAGGAAUAUUGGUCAAUGGACGAGAGUCUGAACCAGCCAAGUAGCGUGAAGGAUGACUGCCCUAUGGGUUGUAAACUUCUUUUAUAAAGGAAUAAAAUGAAGCAUGUAUGCCUUUUUGCAUGUACUUUAUGAAUAAGGAUCGGCUAACUCCGUGCCAGCAGCCGCGGUAAUACGGAGGAUCCGAGCGUUAUCCGGAUUUAUUGGGUUUAAAGGGAGCGUAGGUGGGUUGUUAAGUCAGUUGUGAAAGUUUGCGGCUCAACCGUAAAAUUGCAGUUGAUACUGGCAGUCUUGAGUACAGUAGAGGUAGGCGGAAUUCGUGGUGUAGCGGUGAAAUGCUUAGAUAUCACGAAGAACCCCGAUUGCGAAGGCAGCUUGCUAGACUGUAACUGACACUGAUGCUCGAAAGUGUGGGUAUCAAACAGGAUUAGAUACCCCAGUAGUC